GUGAACGCUGGCGGUAGGCCUAACACAUGCAAGUCGAACGGCAGCACAGUAAGAGCUUGCUCUUACGGGUGGCGAGUGGCGGACGGGUGAGGAAUACAUCGGAAUCUACUUUUUCGUGGGGGGUAACGUAGGGAAACUUACGCUAAUACCGCAUACGACCUACGGGUGAAAGCAGGGGAUCUUCGGACCUUGCGCGAUUGAAUGAGCCGAUGUCGGAUUAGCUAGUUGGCGGGGUAAAGGCCCACCAAGGCGACGAUCCGUAGCUGGUCUGAGAGGAUGAUCAGCCACACUGGAACUGAGACACGGUCCAGACUCCUACGGGAGGCAGCAGUGGGGAAUAUUGGACAAUGGGCGCAAGCCUGAUCCAGCCAUACCGCGUGGGUGAAGAAGGCCUUCGGGUUGUAAAGCCCUUUUGUUGGGAAAGAAAAGCAGCAGGUUAAUACCCCGCUGUUCUGACGGUACCCAAAGAAUAAGCACCGGCUAACUUCGUG
rnacentral:rRNA from 1 species